UCGAGAAUUUUUCUCAAUGGGGGAAACCCUGAAGGAGCGACGCCGCGUGGAGGAUGAAGGUCUUCGGAUUGUAAACUCCUGUCAUUGGUGAACAAAGUCACAAGUUAACUGCUUUGUGAUAUGCUAGUAGCCGAAGAGGAAGGGACGGCUAACUCUGUGCCAGCAGCCGCGGUAAUACAGAGGUCCCAAGCGUUGUUCGGAUUCAUUGGGCGUAAAGGGUGCGUAGGCGGUGGGGUAAGUUGGAUGUGAAAUCUUGGGGCUUAACCUCAAAAUUGCAUUCAAUACUGCUCCGCUCGAGUUCUGUAGAGGAGAUUGGAAUUUACGGUGUAGCAGUGAAAUGCGUAGAUAUCGUAAGGAACGCCAGUGGCGAAAGCGAAUCUCUGGGCAGCAACUGACGCUGAGGCACGAAGGCCAGGGGAGCAAACGG
rnacentral:rRNA from 1 species